AUUGAACGCUGGCGGCAGGCCUAACACAUGCAAGUCGAACGAGUGGCGGACGGGUGAGUAAUGUCUGGGAAACUGCCUGAUGGAGGGGGAUAACUACUGGAAACGGUAGCUAAUACCGCAUACAAUCGGAUGAGCCCAGAUGGGAUUAGCUUGUUGGUGGGGUAACGGCUCACCAAGGCGACGAUCCCUAGCUGGCCUGAGAGGAUGACCAGCCACAAUGGAACUGAGACACGGUCCAGACGCCUACGGGAGGCAGAAGUGGUGAAUAUGGCACAAUGGGCGCAAGCCUGAUGCAGCCAUGCCGCGUGUAUGAAGAAGGCCUUCGUGUUGUAAAGUACUUUCAGCGGGGAGGCGUUACCCGCAGAAGAAGCACCGGCUAACUCCGUGCCAGCAGCCGCGGUAAUUC
rnacentral:rRNA from 1 species